ensembl:lncRNA
CAUACAGAGAGACACCACAACACUACAUACAGAGAGACACCACAACACUACAUACAGAGAGACACCACAACACAACAUAAAGAAACACCACAACACUACAUACAGAGAGACACCACAACACUACAUACAGAGAGACAUCACAACACUACAUACAGAGAGACACCACAACACUACAUACAGAGAGACACCACAACACUACAUACAGAGAGACACCACAACACUACAUACAGAGAGACACCACAACACUACAUACAGAGAGACACCACAACACUACAUACAGAGAGACACCACAACACUACAUACAGAGAGACACCACAACACUACAUACAGAGAGACACCACAACACGACAUAAAGAAACACCACAACACUACAUACAGAGAGACAAGACUACAUACAGAGAGACAUCACAACACUACAUACAGAGAGACACCACAACACGACAUAAAGAAACACCACAACACUACAUACAGAGAGACAAGACUACAUACAGAGAGACAUCACAACACUACAUACAGAGAGACACCACAACACUACAUACAGAGAGACACCACAACACUACAUACAGAGAGACACCACAACACGACAUAAAGAAACACCACAACACUACAUACAGAGAGACACCACAACACGACAUAAAGAAACACCACAGCACUACAUACAGAGAGACACCACAACACUACAUACAGAGAGACCACAACACUACAUACAGAGAGACACCACAACACUACAUACAGAGAGACAACACUACAUACAGAGAGACACCACAACACUACAUACAGAGAGACAUCACAACACUACAUACAGAGAGACCACAACACUACAUACAGAGACACCACAACACUACAUACAGAGAGACACCACAACACUACAUACAGAGAGACACCACAACACUACAUACAGAGAGACACCACAACACUACAUACAGAGAGACACCACAACACUACAUACAGAGAGACAUCACAACACUACAUACAGAGAGACACCACAACACUACAUACAGAGAGACAAGACUACAUACAGAGAGACACCACAACACUACAUACAGAGAGACACCACAACACUACAUACAGAGAGACACCACAACACUACAUACAGAGAGACACCACAACACUACAUACAGAGAGACAUCACAACACUACAUACAGAGAGACCACAACACUACAUACAGAGACACCACAACACUACAUACAGAGAGACCACAACACUACAUACAGAGACACCACAACACUACAUACAGAGAGACACCACAACACUACAUACAGAGAGACACCACAACACUACAUAUAGAGAGACACCACAACACUACAUACAGAGAGACACCACAACACUACAUACAGAGAGACAUCACAACACUACAUACAGAGAGACACCACAACACUACAUACAGAGAGACAAGACUACAUACAGAGAGACACCACAACACUACAUACAGAGAGACACCACAACACUACAUACAGAGAGACACCACAACACGACAUAAAGAAACACCACAACACUACAUACAGAGAGACAAGACUACAUACAGAGAGACAUCACAACACUACAUACAGAGAGACACCACAACACGACAUAAAGAAACACCACAACACUACAUACAGAGAGACAAGACUACAUACAGAGAGACAUCACAACACUACAUACAGAGAGACACCACAACACUACAUACAGAGAGACACCACAACAGGACAUAA